rnacentral:rRNA from 1 species
ACUAAAUAGAUACCCCGGUAGUCCACGCCCUAAACGAUGUCUACUAGUUGUUGGUGGAGUAAAAUCCAUGAGUAAACGCAGCUAAACGCGUGAAGUAGACCGCCUGGGGAGUACGGUCGCAAGAUUAAAACUCAAAGGAAUUGACGGGGGCCCGCACAAGCGGUGGAUUAUGUGGAUUAAUUCGAUGCAACGCGAAAAACCUUACCUGGCCUUGACAUGCCACUAACGAAGCAGAGAUGCAUUAGGUGCCCGUAAGGGAAAGUGGACACAGGUGCUGCAUGGCUGUCGUCAGCUCGUAUCGUGAGAUGUUGGGUUAAGUCCCGCAACGAGCGCAACCCUUGCCAUUAAUUGCCAUCAUUUAGUUGGGCACUUUAAUGGGACUGCCGGUGACAAACCGGAGGAAGGUGGGGAUGACGUCAAGUCCUCAUGGCCCUUAUGGCCAGGGCUUCACACGUAAUACAAUGGUCGGUACAGAGAGUUGCCAACCCGCGAGGGGGAGCUAAUCUCAGAAAGCCGAUCGUAGUCCGGAUUGUUCUCUGC